rnacentral:rRNA from 1 species
CUACGGGGGGCACCAGUGGGGAAUAUUGGACAAUGGGGGGAACCCUGAUCCAGCCAUGCCGCGUGUGUGAAGAAGGCCUUUUGGUUGUAAAGCACUUUAAGCAGUGAAGAAGACUCUUCGGUUAAUACCCGGGGACGAUGACAUUAGCUGCAGAAUAAGCACCGGCUAACUCUGUGCCAGCAGCCGCGGUAAUACAGAGGGUGCAAGCGUUAAUCGGAAUUACUGGGCGUAAAGCGAGCGUAGGUGGCUUGAUAAGUCAGAUGUGAAAUCCCCGGGCUUAACCUGGGAACUGCAUCUGAACUGUUAGGCUAGAGUAGGUGAGAGGGAAGUAGAAUUGCAGGUGUAGCGGUGAAAUGCGUAGAGAUCUGAAGGAAUACCGAUGGCGAAGGCAGCUUCCUGGCAUCAUACUGACACUGAGGCUCGAAAGCGUGGGUAGCAAACAGGAUUAGAUACCCCUGUAGUC